GAAGCCCGCCAGACCGCCGCUGGCGCAACAGGCCGCAAGGCCGCGCUGGAGGAACGUCCGGACUGCACAGGGCAGCGCAGGAGCUAACGGCUCCCCGCCGCGAGGCGAGGAUCAGAGCAACAGAGACGAGCCGCUUGAGUGCGGGUGAAACGGGCAAUCUCUGCGCGCAGCAACACCAAAUAGGCACACAGUGAGGCGGCCCGCUGAGUGUGCGGGUAGGUGGCAUCGAGCCGGGCGGGCGACCCCCGGCCCAGAUUGAUGGCGGUCACGGCAUGGCGCGCCAUGCCGCACAGAAUCCGGCUUAUCGGCGGACUUCACGC
rnacentral:RNase_P_RNA from 2 species